rnacentral:lncRNA from 1 species
CUUCAUUACCAUUUCCAUUCCACUCAGGAAUCAGGCUCUUUACUGUCACCGUGAUGUAAUGAGAGAUAGUAUCAGAUUCAGAUAACCUCUAAAAUGCAGCUCUUAAGGAACAAGAGUUCAAGAAUACAAGAAAUGUGCAUGCUGCUCUGUGCCAUUCUAUUUCUGUAUUGCCAGAUUUCUUCUGUGGGGGCUACCAAUCAGACAUACAUUGCAGAGGUGAUGAUCGAGGGAAAUGCAAGCUUGGACGUCUCUGCUUUUCUGGCUGGACUCCAGUGGCUCGCCACAGACACAGCUACCAUCAUGGAAGCUACAUUAAUAGCUCAGUGUGAAAUCAUUGGUGACGAGACCACAUGCUGGUGUGAGAAUGGCUAUAUUUGGAGUGAUGUUGUGUGUGACUCUGUAAAAACUUGCUGCAACACUGUCAAAUGUGUGGCAAACAUAUCUGACUACACACCACUAUGUGUACCAAAAGUUAACGGUAAGCUUUGCUAUAAAAUCAUUAAUUUUGUAAUAACCAGAAAAUAA